rnacentral:rRNA from 1 species
CAGUCGCCACGGUAAUACGUAGGGUGCAAGCGUUAAUCGGAAUUACUGGGCGUAAAGCGUGCGCAGGCGGUUAUAUAAGUCAGAUGUGAAAUCCCCGGGCUCAACCUGGGAACUGCAUUUGAGACUGUAUGGCUAGAGUGUGUCAGAGGGGGGUAGAAUUCCACGUGUAGCAGUGAAAUGCGUAGAUAUGUGGAGGAAUACCGAUGGCGAAGGCAGCCCCCUGGGAUAACACUGACGCUCAUGCACGAAAGCGUGGGGAGCAAACAGGAUUAGAUACCCGGGUAGUCCCUGUCUCUUAUAU